UGGGGAAUAUUGCACAAUGGGCGCAAGCCUGAUGCAGCCAUGCCGCGUGUGUGAAGAAGGCCUUCGGGUUGUAAAGCACUUUCAGCGAGGAGGAAGGUGGUGAACUUAAUACGUUCAUCAAUUGACGUUACUCGCAGAAGAAGCGCCGGCUAACUCCGUGCCAGCAGCCGCGGUAAUACGGAGGGUGCAAGCGUUAAUCGGAAUUACUGGGCGUAAAGCGCACGCAGGCGGUUUGUUAAGUCAGAUGUGAAAUCCCCCGGGCUCAACCUGGGAACUGCAUUUGAAACUGGCAAGCUAGAGUCUCGUAGAGGGGGGUAGAAUUCCAGGUNUAGCGGUGAAAUGCGUAGAGAUCUGGAGGAAUACCGGUGGCGAAGGCGGCCCCCCUGGACGAAAGACUGACGCUCAGGUGCGAAAA
rnacentral:rRNA from 1 species